CCUACGGGGCGCAGCAGUGAGGAAUAUUGGGCAAUGGGCGCAAGCCUGACCCAGCAACGCCGCGUGAAGGAAGAAGGCUUUCGGGUUGUAAACUUCUUUUAAGAGGGAAGAGCAGAAGACGGUACCUCUUGAAUAAGCCACGGCUAACUACGUGCCAGCAGCCGCGGUAAUACGUAGGGGGCAAGCGUUAUCCGGAUUUACUGGGUGUAAAGGGAGCGUAGACGGCGCGGCAAGUCUGAAGUGAAAGGCAGGGGCUUAACCCCUGAACUGCUUUGGAAACUGCCAUGCUAGAGUGCUGGAGAGGG
rnacentral:rRNA from 1 species